rnacentral:rRNA from 1 species
AUUGAACGCUGGCGGCAUGCCUUACACAUGCAAGUCGAACGGCAGCACGGGGGCAACCCUGGUGGCGAGUGGCGAACGGGUGAGUAAUAUAUCGGAACGUACCCUAGAGUGGGGGAUAACGUAGCGAAAGUUACGCUAAUACCGCAUACGAUCUACGGAUGAAAGUGGGGGCUCGCAAGACCUCAUGCUCGUGGAGCGGCCGAUAUCUGAUUAGCUAGUUGGUGAGGUAAAGGCUCACCAAGGCGACGAUCAGUAGCUGGUCUGAGAGGACGACCAGCCACACUGGGACUGAGACACGGCCCAGACUCCUACGGGAGGCAGCAGUGGGGAAUUUUGGACAAUGGGGGCAACCCUGAUCCAGCAAUGCCGCGUGAGUGAAGAAGGCCUUCGGGUUGUAAAGC